rnacentral:rRNA from 1 species
GUCCUAGCCGUAAACGAUGGACACUAGGUGUUGGUGGUAUCAACCCCACCAGUGCCGAAGCUAACGCAUUAAGUGUCCCGCCUGGGGAGUACGGCCGCAAGGCUAAAACUCAAAGGAAUUGACGGGGCCCCGCACAAGCAGCGGAGCGUGGGGUUUAAUUCGAUGCAACGCGAAGAACCUUACCAGGGCUUGACAUGACCAGGAAUCCGGCGGAAACGUCGGCGCCCCGCAAGGGGCCUGGCCACAGGUGUUGCAUGGCUGUCGU